CCCAUCUAAUAAAGCCAAGCACGCAAAAACCUCACCUGUCAGUUUCCCGGCUCCCUCGCUCACGCGCCGCGGCAUCACUCCGGCCGGCUGGCCAGUCGCCCACUCUUCCCACCCACACCGCCGCUGCCUUUCCUUCCACGGCGAACUCUCCGCGGGCGACGUCCAGACUGGCAACGGCAUUCCAAUAAAAGAAUGCGCCCCUGCUCUGGCCAACUCUCUCCACCUGCAUUCCCCGUUCCGCUAAACCCUAGCCGCCUCCGGCGCGUAGUAGAUUCGCCAUCAGAGACGACGCUCGGCGGCCCUGAGGAGGGAUGACCUACGUCAACCCAGACCCCCAGCCGCUCGCCGCCGCUACGGCGGAUGAUUCCGCAACCCAGCAUCAAGCUGCGGUGACCGCCGCGCCGCAGUCGACGCGAGGCGCUCUCGGGUUUUUUGCGACGGCGGAGCCGAAGCAGGGCGCGACCAUGGUGGCGCCAUCGUCCCCGCAGGGCGUUCCCGGGUUCGCGGUCGUGCCCCAGGCCCAGGGGGUCGAGAACAUAGCGCCCCCCGCGUCCCCGCAAGGCCCUCCCGGGUUUUGCGUGACGCCCGGGCUCGCGCCACAGCAAGGUGCUCCGGUGAUGGCGCCGCCGCAGGGUGUAACCAUGAUGGCUCCGCAACAGCAGCAUUUCGCGCCUGCGAUGGUGCCUGGCUCCCAGCAAGUUAUGCAGAUGCUCCUUCAAGCCCUCCAAGCCCAAGCCCAAGCCCAAGCCCAGGCCAUGGUUGCUCACCAACCCGCUCAAGGCAUGGCGCCAUCGCAAUGUUUGCCCAUGUGCCAUCCGUCCACGGUGGAGAUGCAGCAAGCUCAAGCUGGACACGUGACGGCACCACCACCUGUGCCACUCGGCCCUCCAUUGAUGAUGCAGCAGCAGCAGCAACCUUCACAAGCUGAUACAGUGAUAAUGGCACAACCGCCUCUGCCACUCGACCCUCCAUUGUUGCAGCAGCAGCAGCCUUCACAAGCUGAUACAGUGAUAAUGGCACAACCGCCUCUGCCUCUUGGCUCUGCGAUGCUUCAGCAACAGCCUCCACAGGGGGCCACGAUGAUGAUGGCACAGCCACCUCUGCCAUUAUUCCCUCCAUCAGUGAUGCUGCAACACAAUCCACAGGGCAACCAGGUGACGAUGGCACAGCCACAAUUCGCUGCUCUACCAUGCAAGCGCCAGCGUCUUGACCAAUAUGACAACAAUUACGGACAGCAUAUGACUGGCCAUCAGGAGGAAACAGCAAUAACCAAUGCUGCAAUAGGACAAUUUUAUGGGCCUAAUAUACACAAUGGGGUUCCUUAUUUUGGUGCACCUGAGCCCUCCCUUCCUCCAGAUGCAACAAACACCAUUUAUGUUGAGGGCCUCCCUAUCAACUGUACUAGACGGGAAGUUGCGCAUAUAUUUCGCCAAUAUAUGGGGUUCCUUGAAAUGAGACUGGUCAACAAAGGAUCUAAUAAACAUUUGUGCUUUGUUGAUUUUGCAACCCCAGCACAAGCUUUUUUUGCCAUGAGAAAUCUUCAAGGCUACAAGUUUGAUGAGCAGGACCCUCACUCACGCAUUUUGAACCUGCAGUUCUCUCGCUCUCCUCGUAUGGGUUCACAUGGACUGGUCGCUCCCGGAGCCGUCCGAGCAUGUAUCUGAUCCUCCGUUGCCGUUUGGUGGUUUGCAUCGCGGAAGGAUGUCGUCUGUCAUAGCGUUCCUCGUUCGUUUAAUGGCAGCACAGCUUAUAUGUAUCGAGCUCACAGCACGCAUCCGAUGGAGUGUCAAAGCUUCUAUGGGACGCCAGGAAUGGCCAGAUGUCAAGUCUGAACACUAUGAUAUCCUUGAUGAGCAAGCGAGAUUGCUGUUCACUACAGAAAAUUAUGGAAUCAAGAGAAGUAGAGAGAAGUAGGGCCUGUUUGUUUGGGAUUAUAAUAUACUCAUGAUGGAGGACUUGAGGUUGCGCAAGUGCUGAAAUUCUGGGCGUGUAGAUUACCCUGACCCAACCACACAAACAACCUGGACCUACGUGUUUCCCAUCCCAUGAUAUACUAUCAAACGUUUGGCCAAAACGAUCCAGACUUCUCCAGAUGUUAGAAAUAAAUGGGGGCGAAAAAAAACAGCACUUUAUUGGUAGCCACCAGUUCUGAGUUUCAUCCUACAAAUAGGGAUGUUUAAGAUGCCCAACCGGAUUGUUCACCUGAAAAUCAAAUGAUGACCUAAACAAGAGUACAGCUAAAG